rnacentral:sRNA from 1 species
GUUUCAGCUUUAUACAGUUUUGUUCAAGAACAUUUAGAAAAUAAAAAGAUAUCCUUCUAUCUGUAUACAACUCCUCCAAAAUUUAUUUUAAAAGACAAGAAAUCAACUCUGUCUUCUAACCAUCUUGCUCCAGCUGUUAUAGUUUACUUUGGAUCAGAUUCCCAUCAAGAUCAUUAUCUGAGUGAGACUACAAGACAAUUGUUGAAAACUAGAUUGAAGGCAGAGGCUAUUGUUAAUACAAUAUUGCAACCUUCAGUUCCUGAAUCAGAGACUAAGAAAAUAGAAGAAAGUAGACCAGCUUCAUCAAGAUCCCAAGUUGCCUCCACGUCUCAAGGAAGUCUUUCUUCAGGAGCUCAUAUUCCUAAAUGGCUCAGACUUGGAAAAAAAUGAACUGACAAGGCAAGUUUGUGUACACAGCCUAGCGUGGAAACGUGUCGAGUCCAAUGAAGAAGCAUGUGCAGGCCAGGCAGGUUCCAGUGGUGUUCAAAUGAUGCUCUUUUUUUUUUUUUCUGUUGGUUUCCUUUUUUUUUUUUUUUCUUCGCCCAAUUGUUCUCUUUACUAACUAAAGAAUUGAAACUUUUAUAUUCUUCAGAAUUGUAUUUAUGAACUGAAUAAAAUUUCUUAUUUAAA